UGGGGAAUAUUGCACAAUGGGCGAAAGCCUGAUGCAGCGACGCCGCGUGAGGGAUGACGGCCUUCGGGUUGUAAACCUCUUUCAGCAGGGACGAAGCGAAAGUGACGGUACCUGCAGAAGAAGCACCGGCCAACUACGUGCCAGCAGCCGCGGUAAUACGUAGGGUGCAAGCGUUGUCCGGAAUUAUUGGGCGUAAAGAGCUCGUAGGCGGUCUGUCACGUCGGCUGUGAAAACCUGGGGCUCAACCCCGGGCCUGCAGCCGAUACGGGCAGACUAGAAUUCGGUAGGGGAGACUGGAAUUCCUGGUGUAGCGGUGAAAUGCGCAGAUAUCAGGAGGAACACCGGUGGCGAAGGCGGGUCUCUGGGCCGAUAUUGACGCUGAGGAGCGAAAGCGUGGGGAGCGAACAGGAUUAGAUACCCCGUAGUCC
rnacentral:rRNA from 1 species